rnacentral:rRNA from 1 species
AUUGAACGCUGGCGGCAGGCCUAACACAUGCAAGUCGAGCGGAUGAAGGGAGCUUGCUCCUGGAUUCAGCGGCGGACGGGUGAGUAAUGCCUAGGAAUCUGCCUGGUAGUGGGGGAUAACGUCCGGAAACGGGCGCUAAUACCGCAUACGUCCUGAGGGAGAAAGUGGGGGAUCUUCGGACCUCACGCUAUCAGAUGAGCCUAGGUCGGAUUAGCUAGUUGGUGGGGUAAAGGCCUACCAAGGCGACGAUCCGUAACUGGUCUGAGAGGAUGAUCAGUCACACUUGAACUGAGAAACGGUCCAGACUCCUACGGGAGGCAGCAGUGGGGAAUAUUGGACAAUGGGCGAAAGCCUGAUCCAGCCAUGCCGCGUGUGUGAAGAAGGUCUUCGGAUUGGAAAGCACCUUAAGUUGGGAGGAAGGGCAGUAAGUUAAUACCUUGCUGUUUUGACGUUACCAACAGAAUAAGCACCGGCUAACUUCGUG